rnacentral:rRNA from 1 species
GGAUGAACGUUGGCGGCGUGCCUAAUACAUGCAAGUCGAACGAAGACUGUAGUAAUACUGUCUUAGUGGCGAACGGGUGAGUAACGCGUGGGUGACCUGCCCCGAAGUGUGGGAUAACAGUCCGAAAGGAUUGCUAAUACUGCAUAAUAUCCAAGAGAUUAGAUGCUUUUGGAUUAAAGGAGUAAUUCGCUUCGGGAGGGGCCCGCGUCCCAUCAGCUAGUUGGUAAGGUAAUGGCUUACCAAGGCGAUGACGGGUAGGGGACCUGAGAGGGUGGCCCCCCACAAUGGAACUGAAACACGGUCCAUACACCUACGGGUGGCAGCAGUAGGGAAUAUUAGUAAUGGGCGAAAGCCUGAACUAGCAACGCCGCGUGUGCGAAGAAGGCCUUCGGGUCGUAAAGCACUUUUUGAGAGGAUGAGGAAGGACGGUACUCUCAGAAUAAGUCUCGGCUAACUACGUGCCAGCAGCCGCGGUAACACGUAGGAGGCAAACGUUAUCCGGAUUUACUGGGCGUAAAGCGCGUGUAGGUGGUUUGGUAAGUAGGGCGUGAAAGCUCCUGGCUCAACUGGGAGAGGACGUUCUAAACUGCCAAGCUUGAGGAUGGUAGAGGGAGGUGGAAUUCCGGGUGUAGCGGUGGAAUGCGCAGAUAUCCGGAGGAACACCAGUGGCGAAGGCGGCCUCCUGGACCACUCCCGACACUCAGACGCGAAAGCUAGGGUAGCAAACGGGAUUAGAGACCCCGGUAGUCCUAGCCCUAAACGAUGUAGACUUGGCGUCGGUGGUUUAAUCGCCAUCGGUGUCGUAGCUAACGCGAUAAGUCUACCGCCUGGGGACUACGGCCGCAAGGUUAAAACUCAAAGGAAUUGACGGGUCCCCGCACAAGCAGCGGAGCGUGUGGUUUAAUUCGAUGCUACACGAAGAACCUUACCUGGGUUUGACAUAGAGGUAGUAGGGAAGCGAAAGCGGACCGACCCUUCGGGGAGCCUCUACAGGUGNNGCAUGGCUGUCGUCAGCUCGUGUCGUGAGAUGUUCGGUUAAGUCCGCUAACGAGCGCAACCCUCGCUGUGUGUUACAAGUGUCACACGGUACUGCCGAUAUUAAGUCGGAGGAAGGUGGGGNNNNNGUCAAGUCAGCAUGACCUUUAUAUCCAGGGCUACACACGUGCUACAAUGGGCGGUACAGAGGGAAGCAAGGCCGCAAGGUAGAGCUAAUCCCUAAAGCCGUCCCCAGUUCGGAUUGCAGGCUGCAACUCGCCUGCAUGAAGUCGGAAUCGCUAGUAAUCGCGGAUCAGCUACGCCGCGGUGAAUACGUUCUCGGGCCU